GGGGGGUUCAGGAGCUUGCUCAAGGCCACCUUCGGCAGUGCCCAUGAGGUGAACUGGCACCUCUCCAGCUACCAGUCCACACUUCACAACUCUGGUCCGAGCUGGACUCAAACUGGUGACCCUCCGGUUCCCAGCCUAAUCCUUAUGGACUGAGCUACCGCCGCCCUGUCCGAUGGCCCAGCGGUGGCUUUAAGUUUUUUCCAGAGAGAGACAUGAGCCAGAGCUUCAUGGUUUGCUCCUGCAGCUCUUAAGCAGGUGCUUGGGUCUACAACACUCUUUUGCCUCCGCCCCCUGCUGAAGAGACAACCAGGAAGAGGCAGGAUGGCCAGACCCCCCUGUGCUUCCUCAACCCCCUCUGGAACUACUCACAGCAAAGACAGUUAU